rnacentral:rRNA from 1 species
AACGAACGCUGGCGGCAUGCCUAACACAUGCAAGUCGAACGAGACCUUCGGGUCUAGUGGCGCACGGGUGCGUAACGCGUGGGAACCUGCCCUUAGGUUCGGAAUAACUCCCCGAAGGGGGUGCUAAUACCGGUUAAUGUCUUCGGACCAAAGAUUUAUCGCCUUUGGAUGGGCCCGCGUUGGAUUAGCUAGUUGGUAGGGUAAAAGCCUACCAAGGCGACGAUGCAUAGCUGGUCUGAGAGGAUGAUCAGCCACACUGGGACUGAGACACGGCCCAGAAUCCGACGGGAGGCAGCAGAGGAGAAUACUAGACGAGGGGGGAAAGUGUGAUCAAGCAAUGCCGCGUGAGUGAGGAAGGCCUUAGGGUUGUAAAGCUGUCUUACCCGGGAUGAUAAUGACAGUAACGGGAGAAUAAGCACCGGCUAACUACGUG